UACGGGGGGAGCAAGCGUUGUUCGGAUUUACUGGGCGUAAAGGGCGCGUAGGCGGUCAGCACAAGUCAGUUGUGAAAUCUCCGGGCUUAACUCGGAAAGGUCAACUGAUACUGUGCGACUAGAGUGCAGAAGGGGCAACUGGAAUUCUCGGUGUAGCGGUGAAAUGCGUAGAUAUCGAGAGGAACACCUGCGGCGAAGGCGGGUUGCUGGGCUGACACUGACGCUGAUGCGCGAAAGCCAGGGGAGCGA
rnacentral:rRNA from 1 species